rnacentral:tRNA from 2 species
CGCGCAAUGCCAGAGUGGUAAUGGAGCGGCCUGCAAAGCCGUCGGGGCAACCCGUCCGUCGGUUCGAUCCCGACUUGCGCGUCCA